GACAGAGGAUGCAAGCGUUAUCCGGAAUGAUUGGGCGUAAAGCGUCUGUAGGUGGCUUUUAAGUCCGCCGUCAAAUCCCAGGGCUCAACCCUGGACAGGCGGUGGAAACUACCAAGCUGGGGUACGGUGAGGGGCAGGAGGGAAUUUCCGGUGGAGCGGUGAAAUGCGUAGAGAUCGGAAAGAACACCAACGGCGAAAGCACUCUGCUGGGCCGACACUGACACUGAGAGACGAAAGCUAGGGGAGCGAAUGGG
rnacentral:rRNA from 1 species